AUACGGAGGAUGCAAGCGUUAUCCGGAUUUAUUGGGUUUAAAGGGUGCGUAGGCUGACGUGUAAGUCAGAGGUGAAAUGCCCGGGCUCAACCUGGGAACUGCCUUUGAUACUGCAUGUCUGGAGUUCGGAUGCCGUGGGAGGAAUGGGCAGUGUAGCGGUGAAAUGCAUAGAUAUUGCCCAGAACACCGAUUGCGAAGGCAUCUCACGAAUCCGACACUGACGCUGAGGCACGAAAGCGUGGGGAUCAAACAGGAUUAGAUACCCUGGUAGUCCACGCAGUAAACGAUGAUCACUCGUUGUUGGGGGGUGACCCUCAGCGGCCAAGCGAAAGCGAUAAGUGAUCCACCUGGGGAGUACGAUCGCAAGGUUGAAACUCAAAUGAAUUGGCGGGG
rnacentral:rRNA from 1 species